rnacentral:rRNA from 1 species
GUAAGGUGGAAACGGAUAGAGUCGGCGUAUCAUUCAAUUAUUCAGUUACAUUAUUUUUAUGUUGUGACCUCUGAGCUCCAGAUUGGGACAGAGGGAAUCAGCAUAAUUUUUUGUGGUGCAUUUACUUGAUUGGUGCUUGGGGAUGUUUGAGGCAGAUUUGUUUCCGUCGUUUUGAGGCCAGCUUGCUGGUACCCAAACGGUGUUAGCAUUUUUUGUCUUGGGCAUUUGAGUAUGGCUCACGUGUAUUUAUUGGACAGAUCUGAGUGUAAGUUACGGUCGCAUGCGACACGUGCUUUUCAAUUAGUUCGGUCCAGUUAAUGCUCUCGUACUCGUUCCCCAUGUAAAAGCCGGUCAUCUAUCCGACCCGUCUUGAAACACGGACCAAGGAGUUUAUCGUGUGCGCAAGUUUUUGGGUGUUAAAAACUUAAAAGCGAAAUGAAAGUAAAUGACUCUUUAGAGUCUGAUGUGCGAUCUUGUAAAAAAGUGUAGCAUGGCCCCAUUCUAACUGUUUACAGUAGGGUGGCGGAAGAGCGUACGCGGUGAGACCCGAAAGAUGGUGAACUAUUCCUGAGCAGGACGAAGCCAGAGGAAACUCUGGUGGAAGUCCGAAGCGGUUCUGACGUGCAAAUCGAUCUGUCUG